rnacentral:tRNA from 1 species
GUUGAUAUGGCCGAGUUGGCCUAAGGCGCCAGGUUAAGGUUCUGGUACGAAAGGUCGUGUGGGUUCAAACCCCACUCCCACUG